rnacentral:rRNA from 1 species
GACGAACGCUGGCAGCGUGCUUAACACAUGCAAGUCGAACGGAAAGGCCCUGCUUUUGUGGGGUGCUCGAGUGGCGAACGGGUGAGUAACACGUGAGUAACCUGCCCUUGACUUUGGGAUAACUUCAGGAAACUGGGGCUGAUACCGGAUAGGAGCUCCUGCUGCAUGGUGGGGGUUGGAAAGUUUCGGCGGUUGGGGAUGGACUCGCGGCUUAUCAGCUUGUUGGUGGGGUAGUGGCUUACCAAGGCUUUGACGGGUAGCCGGCCUGAGAGGGUGACCGGCCACAUUGGGACUGAGAUACGGCCCAGACUCCUACGGGAGGCAGCAGUGGGGAAUAUUGCACAAUGGGCGGAAGCCUGAUGCAGCAACGCCGCGUGCGGGAUGACGGCCUUCGGGUUGUAAACCGCUUUCGCCUGUGACGAAGCGUGAGUGACGGUAAUGGGUAAAGAAGCACCGGCUAACUACGUG